AAGAUAAUACUUUCUGGGAUCAUUUCCAUAGUUCCUUAUUAGAGAAGUUUCUGUGCUCGAAAGGAGCAUCAGAAACCGUGAAGAGGAGGCACGGCCUUCUCUCCUGAACAUGAAGCCAGUUCUUGGGGUUGCUUCACUGCAACUGCCAUUUGCCAUUGUUGGUCGUUCUUCUAUUCUUCUAGGAGAAGAAAAGGGAGAGGACACAGUCUGAGAGGG
rnacentral:snoRNA from 1 species